AACGAACGCUGGCGGCAUGCCUAACACAUGCAAGUCGAACGAGACCUUCGGGUCUAGUGGCGCACGGGUGCGUAACGCGUGGGAACCUGCCCUUAGGUUCGGAAUAACUCCCCGAAAGGGGUGCUAAUACCGGAUAAUGUCUUCGGACCAAAGAUUUAUUGCCUUUGGAUGGGCCCGCGUUGGAUUAGCUAGUUGGUAGGGUAAAAGCCUACCAAGGCGACGAUCCAUAGCUGGUCUGAGAGGAUGAUCAGCCACACUGGGACUGAGACACGGCCCAGACUCCUACGGGAGGCAGCAGAGGGGAAUAUUGGACAAUGGGCGAAAGCCUGAUCCAGCAAUGCCGCGUGAGUGAUGAAGGCCUUAGGGUUGUAAAGCUCUUUUACCCGGGAUGAUAAUGACAGUACCGGGAGAAUAAGCUCCGGCUAACUCCGUG
rnacentral:rRNA from 1 species